UACGUAGGGUGCGAGCGUUGUCCGGAAUUAGUUGGGCGUAAAGAGCUCGUAGGCGGUGUGUCGCGUGGCCCGUGAAAACCUGCAGCUUAACUGUGGGCUUGCGGUCGAUACGGGCAUCACUGGAGUUCGGGCAGGGGAGACUGGAAUUCCUGGUGUAGCGGUGAAAUGCGCAGAUAUCAGGAGGGAACACCGGUGGCGAAGGCGGGUCUCU
rnacentral:rRNA from 1 species